rnacentral:rRNA from 1 species
AGAGUUUGAUCCUGGCUCAGAACGAACGCUGGCGGCAGGCCUAACACAUGCAAGUCGAACGGGCGUAGCAAUACGUCAGUGGCAGACGGGUGAAUAACACGUGGGAACCUUCCUCGUAGUGCGGAACAACUCAGGGAAACUUGAGCUAAUACCGCAUACGCCCCGGAGCAAUCCGGGGGAAAGAUUUAUCGCUAUGAGACGGGCCCGCGUCCGAUUAGCUAGUUGGUGGGGUAACAGCCUACCAAGGCGACGAUCGGUAGCUGAUCUGAGAGGAUGAUCAGCCACACUGGGACUGAGACACGGCCCAGACUCCUACGGGAGGCAGCAGUGGGGAAUCUUGGACAAUGGGCGAAAGCCUGAUCCAGCCAUGCCGCGUGAGUGAAGAAGGCCUUAGGGUUGUAAAGCUCUUUUGGCAGGGACGAUAAUGACG